UUAGGAAUUGAAAAUUGUAGCCACUAUGUAAAAACAAACAAAACUAAAAGCAUAAACAGAGUUUGGAUGAAUACCAUGGAUAAAUAAAAGCUAAAAUAGGCAAGUUUUGCAAAAAUAAAUUUCACUAAAUGUGGCAUUUUAUUUAUAAACAAAAAGAAGUAGCCACAUAAAAAACCUAAGUAUUAGAUAAGAUGUAAAAGAAAUGAUGUAUAAAAUAAAGACCAGCAAUAAAAAAGAAUGGAUGAUAAGAGUGAAGAACUGAGGUUUGUUAAGAAUUAGGUCAGCAGAUAAACCAACGUACAGGCAGUAAAGCAAAAAUGAAUGAAAGUAAAACUAAAAGUCGGUCAAAUAAACCUC